AGAAGAACAUGUGAUGCUAUUCUUGUUGUUUCCAUUCUCUUCAAUCUAGGAAAAAUAUCUUCUUCGCGGACCUCGAGCUGGCCAUCUCCAUCAUUUUGAAUUUUCUUUGCAGACUCUAAAACACCAUCACUACAACACCCUUCCAAAUGAAUUAGCUUAAGGCAUGGACAUCCA